GAAUGAGAUUUUUUUUUAUAUGUAUAAAGAAUGGUAUGUAUACGUUUUCCAACAUUCGAACUGUUGAGUGUUGCAUUGUUGAGUUUUAUCGCAGUUUCCUUCAUCCGAUCCAUCGUCACAAUCGCGUUUAUUGUCUACGAAUUAUCAAUAAAAUACGAAAUAUUAUUAAUGAAGUGAGAAGAUUCGAUGUAUUUCAAUGAGCAAAAGUUAAUAUAACAAUUAUUAACGUGAAGUCAAUAUCUAUUUAGUAUGUAAGAAAGUAGUAAGGGUUUGAUCAUACACAUAUACACACAUAAAUUAAAAACAAUUUGCAAAUGAAAUGAACGAAGCUGCGUUAGUAAACACUUUGCUGACAAAAAUUGAGAUUUGGUAGUAGUAGUAGUAGCAGAGCAGAGCAACGAAGGAAUCAUCAUUGGAUACACACUAUCGCAUUAACGUUGCAUCGACAACAUGGCUCAGCACACGAACAACAGAGAUAGCGAGCCAAAGAGAGGGAGAGAUUACUUAGCACAUUGUGGCCCAAUAUGUCCGACACAAUGGGAGGAAAUGACAGCAAAUUUUAAAAUUGGCGCGCUGUUUAGUUUCGAUUUGAGUUGUAAAAUUACAUUGACGUCCCCUUUGAAAUUCGGUGCGCCACCGUCGGCUCAAAAAGACUUGAAGUCUUCACAUCCUCUCAUUGGUCCGACACAUCAAGUGGUGACGACGAUGAUGGAGACGAGGAAUGUGGGGUGGAGCGCGGAAAUGUGGUUUCAAACCUAGCGAAGAUAGUAGUGACGAUGAGCCACUAGCGGCCAAAAUAAGACGUACCGAACAACCAUUUAAUUCGGUUUCAAACCUAGCGAACACUCAGCCAGUUGUUCGAUUGCAAAGAAUGAGCAAUGAUUUGUUACGGCAAUGGAAUGUGCCG